GACGAACGCUGGCGGCGUGCUUAACACAUGCAAGUCGAACGGAAAGGCCCUGCUUUUGUGGGGUGCUCGAGUGGCGAACGGGUGAGUAACACGUGAGUAACCUGCCCUUGACUUUGGGAUAACUUCAGGAAACUGGGGCUAAUACCGGAUAGGAGCUCCUGCUGCAUGGUGGGGGUUGGAAAGUUUCGGCGGUUGGGGAUGGACUCGCGGCUUAUCAGCUUGUUGGUGGGGUAGUGGCUUACCAAGGCUUUGACGGGUAGCCGGCCUGAGAGGGUGACCGGCCACAUUGGGACUGAGAUACGGCGCAGACGCCUACGGGAGGCAGCAGUGGGGAAUAUUGCACAAUGGUCGGAAGCCUGAUGCAGCAACGCCGCGUGCGGGAUGACGGCCUUCGGGUUGUAAACCGCUUUCGCCUGUGACGAAGCGUGAGUGACGGUAAUGGGUAAAGAAGCACCGGCUAACUACGUG
rnacentral:rRNA from 1 species